CAACCCUCAGGCCCCGGGCCUGGCGUUGGGGAUCGGCGGAGCCCCCCGUGGGCACACGCCGUCCCCCAAAUACAGUGGCGGUCCCGCCGCAGCUUCCAUUGCGUAGUAGCUAACACCUCGCAACUGGAGAGCGGCGCGGCCACGCCGUAAAACACCCAACUUCUGAA
rnacentral:misc_RNA from 1 species